GACGAACGCUGGCGGCGUGCCUAACACAUGAAAGUGGAGCGACGAACCAGGCUUCGGCCUGGGGCAAAGCCGCGAACGGGUGAGUAACACGUGGGUAACCUGCCCUGAUGAUUGGGACAACCCGAGGAAACUCGGGCUAAUACCAAAUGUGCCCUUCGGCCACAAGGCCGCUGGGGAAAGGAAGCUUCGGCCUCCGCAUCUGGAUGGGCCCGCGGCCCAUUAGCUUGUUGGUGAGGUAACGGCUCACCAAGGCGACGAUGGGUAGCUGGUCUGAGAGGACGAUCAGCCACACUGGGACUGAGACACGGCCCAGACUCCUACGGGAGGCAGCAGUGGGGAAGUCUUGCGCAAUGCGCGAAAGCGUGACGCAGCAACGCCGCGUGGGGGAAGACGG
rnacentral:rRNA from 1 species